UACGUAGGGCGCAAGCGUUGUCCGGAAUUAUUGGGCGUAAAGAGCUCGUAGGCGGCUUGGUAAGUCGGAUGUGAAACCUCCAGGCUCAACCUGGAGUCGCCAUCCGAUACUGCCAUAGCUAGAGUCCGGUAGGGGCCCACGGAACUCCUGGUGUAGCGGUGAAAUGCGCAGAUAUCAGGAAGAACACCGGUGGCGAAGGCGGUGGGCUGGGCCGGCACUGACGCUGAGGAGCGAAAGCGUGGGGAGCGAACAGG
rnacentral:rRNA from 1 species